UACGUAGGGAGCAAGCGUUGUCCGGAAUCAUUGGGCGUAAAGCGCGCGUAGGUGGCUUCGUAAGUCCGUUGUGAAAGUCAAAGGCUCAACCUUUGAAAGCCGAUGGAUACUGCGGAGCUAGAGUACGGAAGAGGCGAGUGGAAUUCCUGGUGUAGCGGUGGAAUGCGCAGAUAUCAGGAGGAACACCAAUAGCGAAGGCGGUCUGCUGGGCAGUUUCUGACACUGAGGCGCGACAGCGUGGGGAGCAAACAGG
rnacentral:rRNA from 1 species